rnacentral:rRNA from 1 species
CACGUAGGGCGCGAGCGUUGUCCGGAAUUAUUGGGCGUAAAGAGCUCGUAGGCGGCCUGUUGCGUCCGCUGUGAAAGCCCGGGGCUUAACCCCGGGUCGGCAGUGGAUACGGGCAGGCUAGAGGUAGGUAGGGGAGAAUGGAAUUCCCGGUGUAGCGGUGAAAUGCGCAGAUAUCGGGAGGAACACCGGUGGCGAAGGCGGCGACCUGGGUAGAUACUGACGCUGAGGUGCGAAAGCGUGGGGAGCAAACAGG